rnacentral:rRNA from 1 species
GAUGAACGCUGGCGGCGUGCCUAAUACAUGCAAGUCGAGCGAACGGACGAGAAGCUUGCUUCUCUGAUGUUAGCGGCGGACGGGUGAGUAACACGUGGAUAACCUACCUAUAAGACUGGGAUAACUUCGGGAAACCGGAGCUAAUACCGGAUAAUAUUUUGAACCGCAUGGUUCAAAAGUGAAAGACGGUCUUGCUGUCACUUAUAGAUGGAUCCGCGCUGCAUUAGCUAGUUGUUAAGGUAACGGCUUACCAAGGCAACGAUGCAUAGCCGACCUGAGAGGGUGAUCGGCCACACGGGAACUGAGACACGGUCCAGACGCCUACGGGAGGCAGCAGUAGGGAAUCUUACGCAAUGGGCGAAAGCCUGACGGAGCAACGCCGCGUGAGUGAUGAAGGUCUUCGGAUCGUAAAACUCUGUUAUUAGGGAAGAACAUAUGUGUAAGUAACUGUGCACAUCUUGACGGUACCUAAUCAGAAAGCCACGGCUAACUACGUG